rnacentral:rRNA from 1 species
GAAGGUUUUCGGAUUGUAAACUUCUGUUGUAAGAGAAGAAAUACUAGAAUAGGAAAUGAUUCUAAUUUGACGUUAUCUUACUAGAAAGUCACGGCAAACUAUGUGCCAGCAGCCGCGGUAAUACAUAGGUGGCAAGCGUUAUCCGGAUUUAUUGGGCGUAAAGAGUGCACAGGCGGUUUGUUAAGUCAGUUGUAAAAGGUUGGAGCUCAACUCCAAUAGGCAAUUGAAACUAAUAGACUAGAAUACAGGUGGGGGUAGUGGAAUUUCAUGUGUAGCGGUGGAAUGCAUAAAUAUAUGAAGGAACACCAGUGGCGAAGGCGGCUACCUGAACUGAUAUUGACGCUUAAGUACGAAAGCGUGGGGAGCAAAUAGGAUUAGAUACCCUAGUAGUCCACGCCGUAAACGAUCUAGACUAGUUGUUGUUAUAAAACAGUGACGCAGCUAACGCAUUAAGUCUAGCGCCUGGGUAGUAUGCACGCAAGUGUGAAACUCAAAGGAAUUGACGGGGACCCGCACAAGUGGUGGAGCAUGUGGU